rnacentral:rRNA from 1 species
AUUGAACGCUGACGGAAUGCUUUACACAUGCAAGUCGAACGGCAGCACGGACUUCGGUCUGGUGGCGAGUGGCGAACGGGUGAGUAAUGUAUCGGAACGUGCCCAGUCGUGGGGGAUAACGUAGUGAAAAUUACGCUAAUACCGCAUACGACCUAUGGAUGAAAGCGGGGGAUCGCAAGACCUCGCUCGAUUGGAGCGGCCGAUAUCAGAUUAGGUAGUUGGUGGGGUAAAGGCCCACCAAGCCAACGAUCUGUAGCUGGUCUGAGAGGACGACCAGCCACACUGGAACUGAGACACGGUCCAGACUCCUACGGGAGGCAGCAGUGGGGAAUUUUGGACAAUGGGCGAAAGCCUGAUCCAGCCAUUCCGCGUGCAGGAUGAAGGCCCUCGGGUUGUAAACUGCUUUUGUACAGAACGAAAAGGUUUCUACUAAUACUAGGAGCUCAUGACGGUACUGUAAGAAUAAGCACCGGCUAACUACGUGCCAGCCGCCGCGGUAA